GACGAAGAACGCAGCGAAAUGCGAUACGUAAUGUGAAUUGCAAAUUCAGUGAAUCAUCGAGUCUUUGAACGCACAUUGCGCCCCCUGGUAUUCCGGGGGGCAUGCCUGUCCGAGCGUCAUUGCUGCCCUCAAGCACGGCUUGUGUGUUGGGCCCCGUCCUCCGAUCCCGGGGGACGGGCCCGAAAGGCAGCGGCGGCACCGCGUCCGGUCCUCGAGCGUAUGGGGCUUUGUCACCCGCUCUGUAGGCCCGGCCGGCGCUUGCCGAUCAACCCAAAUUUUUAUCCAGGUUGACCUCGGAUCAGGUAGGGAUACCCGCUGAACUUAAGCAUAUCAAUAAGCGGAGGA
rnacentral:misc_RNA from 1 species